GGGAAGGGUGAAUAGGCGUAAGCUAAAAUCGUCGCCACUUAAAAUAAGUUUAUCAGCGACUUGCGGAUUAGUCUGAAAAUACUUCCAGAGAUUCCGCAAAUUACGGAAUCUUCGAAGAAAUCUCCAGAAUCUCCGAAGAUAGAAAAAGCUCACGUUAAGCAGUGGAACAAAAUAGUCUACCUGAAAAUCGGAGCUUUCGGUUUCAUAACCAGAACUUCUGAUUUUGUCUUGGGCAGAGAGAAACCCUAGACCUUAUGCGUUGCAUGUGAGGUAAAAAACAAACAAGGUUUAGAGAGAUGCUCAGAUGGUGUUUCUUAGUAGGAUCACAAAGUUCCUGCACUUCACAAACACUAACACCCGAGCAGAUCAACCAAUAUUAUGAUAUCACAACGAAAUGGAAGUGCAAUGCAAAAGUAAGCAAACCAGUGAGAAGACACAAUGAUUUGUUUAACCAAAGUUCAGAUUCUCCCCAGGCGAAUCCUACAUCUCCGUUGGGUGCUUCCAAAGAAGCCGGGUUGCACUCAACCCCUUUCCCACUUCACUAGUUAGCUUCUUCCCUUUCAGACGUGAAGCUUGACCUGCACAAACUGUCUCGUGGCUCACCACACCUUGGGAGCUCUUGGGCAACACCUAGCCGUCUAGGAGGAACACACUGAACACCUCCGAGAGUAACAAAUGUUUCACUUGAAACUUGACAAGGCAAACCAGUGCUCAAGCGUAUGAGUGCUCUUCUAGUGCUCUCAAAUGGCUCCUCUUUACAACCCAACUCACAAGAUCUAGCAAAGAUC
rnacentral:lncRNA from 1 species